rnacentral:rRNA from 1 species
GACGAACGCUGGUGGCGUGCUUAACACAUGCAAGUCGAACGGUGAAGCGAGUGCUUGCACUCGUGGAUCAGUGGCGAACGGGUGAGUAACACGUGAGUAACCUGCCCAUCACUCUGGGAUAAGCACUGGAAACGGUGUCUAAUACUGGAUACGACCAACCCUUGCAUGGGGUGUUGGUGGAAAGAUUUAUCGGUGAUGGAUGGACUCGCGGCCUAUCAGCUUGUUGGCGGGGUAAUGGCCCACCAAGGCGACGACGGGUAGCCGGCCUGAGAGGGUGACCGGCCACACUGGGACUGAGACACGGCCCAGACUCCUACGGGAGGCAGCAGUGGGGAAUAUUGCACAAUGGGCGAAAGCCUGAUGCAGCGACGCCGCGUGAGGGAUGACGGCCUUCGGGUUGUAAACCUCUUUCAGCAGGGAAGAAGCGAAAGUGACGGUACCUGCAGAAGAAGCACCGGCUAACUACGUG